GCACUGCUGAGGAGUCCCAUACUAGCACGAAACGGCCGUCCAGUGC
rnacentral:hammerhead_ribozyme from 3 species